GACGAACGCUGGCGGCGUGCUUAACACAUGCAAGUCGAACGGAAAGGCCCUGCUUUUGUGGUGUGCUCGAGUGGCGAACGGGUGAGUAACACGUGAGUAACCUGCCCUUGACUUUGGGAUAACUUCAGGAAACUGGGGCUAAUACCGGAUAGGAGCUCCUGCUGCAUGGUGGGGGUUGGAGAGUUUCGGCGGUUGGGGAUGGACUCGCGGCUUAUCAGCUUGUUGGUGGGGUAGUGGCUUACCAAGGCUUUGACGGGUAGCCGGCCUGAGAGGGUGACCGGCCACAUUGGGACUGAGAUACGGACCAGACUCCUACGGGAGGCAGCAGUGGGGAAUAUUGCACAAUGGGCGGAAGCCUGAUGCAGCAACGCCGCGUGCGGGAUGACGGCCUUCGGGUUGUAAACCGCUUUCGCCUGUGACGAAGCGUGAGUGACGGUAAUGGGUAAAGAAGCACCGGCUAACUACGUG
rnacentral:rRNA from 1 species